rnacentral:rRNA from 1 species
GGGCCCGCACAAGCGGUGGAGCAUGUGGUUUAAUUCGAAGCAACGCGCAGAACCUUACCAAGGCUUGACAUAUAGAGGAAAAGUGCAGAAAUGCACUCCCCGCAAGGUCUCUAUACAGGUGGUGCAUGGUUGUCGUCAGCUCGUGUCGUGAGAUGUUGGGUUAAGUCCCGCAACGAGCGCAACCCUCGUCCUAUGUUGCCAGCACGUAAUGGUGGGAACUCAUGGGAUACUGCCGGGGUCAACUCGGAGGAAGGUGGGGAUGACGUCAAAUCAUCAUGCCCCUUAUGUCUUGGGCUUCACGCAUGCUACAAUGGCCGGUACAGAGGGCUGCAAUACCGCAAGGUGGAGCGAAUCCCAAAAAGCCGGUCUCAGUUCGGAUUGAGGUCUGCAACUCGACCUCAUG